rnacentral:lncRNA from 1 species
AAUACACAUUUUUCAAGAAUCCUGGACUAAUCCCACACUACUCUGAGCCUUCUUUACUUUUUAAGCCUCUUUAUUUCUAUUAUAUGACUGUGAACUAAGUAGAUUUAACUUUUGUAUGCUUUUAAAAUCAGUUAUAUUUUCUGAUAUGUGAUAACAAAUAUACUGUGUAUUUCAUUGAAACGUAGAGGAAAACUGCUCUUUUUUUCCUUUUAAAAUCAGUGCCUAUGGUAUAGUCAACAAAGUAUUUAAUGAGUGGCUAUUUUGAGCCAUUUUUAAUUGGCUGGACUACUGCAGACAUACCAUUUUAAAUGAUUACACAUAUGUCUAGAGAAUCAGCAUAGGAUUUUUGUUUUUCCUUUGAGAUUGAACAAUUUUUAUUUCAUCAUUACUAAAACUUAGCUGACAAUUUUUAUUUUUUCAUUACUAAAACUUAGCUGGAUGUCAGUUUCUGCCUUUAAAUAAAAUAUCCAAAUCCAGGAUUAUUCUCAAUUGCAAAAAUGCAGCUGGUCUCAACUAUUCCUUUUAUAUUUUCUUUCACAUAGGGUAGAAAAUGGUGAAUCAUUGUACUUUCAUAUAAUAAAAAGAUGUCUUCAAUUUUAAAUGUAAUUGUCCUUUCUUGAGUAACUUCUAAAUGAAGUGAAACCACAAAGGCAGUUUGGCACACUAUUGAUUCUAUCCUGGUUAUCUUUUUUGUCAGGCUAGAAUGUGAAGGGAAAGGGUUUGGAGCACAGAAUGGUUUUCCUUUUAAAGAAAAAAAAUUGAAUGAAAAAUUGGCAAUGAAAAUAAAAUACUGGA